rnacentral:pre_miRNA from 1 species
AAUGUCGAGCGGUAGUUGUUAUACAGUUUUCCUUCGUUUCCGCUAUGGGCGCUGUUCCAAUUCCAUACGUUACUUUUACGCGAUCGAGAAGUUAAAUAACUCGCGCUAAGCAC